rnacentral:rRNA from 1 species
GACGAACGCUGGCGGCGUGCUUAACACAUGCAAGUCGAACGGUAAGGCCCUUCGGGUACGACGAGUGGCGAACGGGUGAGUAACACGUGGGUGAUCUGCCCUGCACUUCGGGAUAAGCUUGGGAAACUGGGUCUAAUACUGGAUAGGACCACGGUCUGCAUGGAUUGUGGUGGAAAGCUUUUGCGGUGUGGGAUGGGCCCGCGGCCUAUCAGCUUGUUGGUGGGGUGAUGGCCUACCAAGGCGACGACGGGUAGCCGGCCUGAGAGGGUGUCCGGCCACACUGGGACUGAGAUACGGCCCAGACUCCUACGGGAGGCAGCAGUGGGGAAUAUUGCACAAUGGGCGCAAGCCUGAUGCAGCGACGCCGCGU